rnacentral:rRNA from 1 species
GAUGAACGCUAGCGAUAGGCUUAACACAUGCAAGUCGAGGGGCAGCACAAGGUCGCUUGCUCUCUGGGUGGCGACCGGCGCACGGGUGCGUAACGCGUAUGCAACUUGCCCUAUACAGGAGGAUAACCCGUCGAAAGACGGACUAAUACUGCGUAUGCUCACAACUUGGCAUCAAGUGGUGAGGAAAGAAAUUCGGUAUAGGAUAGGCAUGCGUCCCAUUAGCUUGUUGGUGAGGUAACGGCUCACCAAGGCAACGAUGGGUAGGGGAACUGAGAGGUUUAUCCCCCACACUGGUACUGAGACACGGACCAGACUCCUACGGGAGGCAGCAGUGAGGAAUAUUGGUCAAUGGGCGCGAGCCUGAACCAGCCAAGUCGCGUGAAGGAUGACUGUCUUAUGGAUUGUAAACUUCUUUUAUACGGGAAUAACAAGAGUCACGUGUGACUCCCUGCAUGUACCGUAUGAAUAAGCAUCGGCUAACUCCGUG